GAUGAACGCUGGCGGCGUGCCUAAUACAUGCAAGUCGAGCGAACAGACGAGGAGCUUGCUCCUCUGACGUUAGCGGCGGACGGGUGAGUAACACGUGGAUAACCUACCUAUAAGACUGGGAUAACUUCGGGAAACCGGAGCUAAUACCGGAUAACAUGUUGAACCGCAUGGUUUAACAGUGAAAGACGGUCUUGCUGCCACUUAUAGAUGGAUCCGCGCCGCAUUAGCUAGUUGGUAAGGUAACGGCUUACCAAGGCAACGAUGCGUAGCCGACCUGAGAGGGUGAUCGGCCACACUGGAACUGAGACACGGUCCAGACUCCUACGGGAGGCAGCAGUAGGGAAUCUUCCGCAAUGGGCGAAAGCCUGACGGAGCAACGCCGCGUGAGUGAAGAAGGUCUUCGGAUCGUAAAACUCUGUUAUUAGGGAAGAACAAAUGUGUAAGUAACUAUGCACGUCUUGACGGUACCUAAUCAGAAAGCCACGGCUAACUACGU
rnacentral:rRNA from 1 species